rnacentral:rRNA from 1 species
CGGGGUGAGUAACGCGUGGAUAACCUGCCUCGCACUGGGGGAUAACAGUUAGAAAUGACUGCUAAUACCGCAUGAGCGCACAGUACCGCAUGGUACGGUGUGAAAAACUCCGGUGGUGUGAGAUGGAUCCGCGUCUGAUUAGCCAGUUGGCGGGGUAACGGCCCACCAAAGCGACGAUCAGUAGCCGACCUGAGAGGGUGACCGGCCACAUUGGGACUGAGACACGGCCCAA